rnacentral:lncRNA from 1 species
GCACAUCAUAUGAAAGUUAAAAAUAUAGGCUGCCAUUCAGUAUUGCAGUUUAUGGAUUAAGGGUAAAGGUAAAGGUUUCCCCUGACGUUAAGUCUAGUCAUGUCCGACUCUGGGGGUUGGUGCUCAUCUCCAUUUCUAAGCCGAAGAGCCAGCGUUGUCCGUAGACACCUCCAAGGUCAUGUGGCCGGCAUGACUGCAUGGAGCGCUGUUACCUUCCCAUUGGAGCAGUACCUAUUGAUCUACUCACAUUUGCAUGUUUUUGAACUGCUAGGUUGGCAGGAGAGUUUAUGGAUUAAUAAAUGGGAAAUACUGAUCUGUAUUCAACAAAUACAGGAGGGGAAAAAAGGAGGAGUCCCCAAUAGUGCAGCGGAUUAAACCGCUGAGCUGCUGAACUUGCUGACCAAAAGGUUGACAGUUCAAAUCCGGGGAGCGGGGUGAGCUCCCUCUGUUAGCCCCAGCUUCUGCCAAACUAGCAGUUCGAAAACAUGCCAAUGUGAGUAGAUCAAUAGGUACCGCCCUGGCAGGAAGAUAAUAGUACUCCAUACAGUCAUGCCAGCCACAUGACCUUGGAGAUGUCUACGGACAACGCCGGCUCUUCGGCUUAGAAAUGGAGAUGAGCACCAACCCCCAGAGUCGGAAAUGAGUGGACUUCAUGUCAGAGGAAAACCUUUACCUUUACUAUUCAACAAAACUGUUGCAUAAUGCUUGAUUGUGUGACAAGCAACAACACCUGAAAUUCCCUCUUCCACAUAAUAGUUUCAAUCUUACAACACAACAUUAUGUUGAUGUAGUACAGCAGCUUGACCUGAAAGUACAUUCACUUCACUUCUUCACUUCACUUUAUUUCUUAAUUACUCUCUCUCCACCAGAGUGCUCCGAGCGACUUACAAUUUAAAAUAUCAUUCCACAAUAUAAAAACAUUCAACAUAAAAACAUUCAACAGUGACUAUUUGGCAAAUUGGAUCUGAUUACUUAAAUGCACAGCCAAACAGCCAAGUCUUGAGCGCUUUUACAAAAGGUCGCAACUCCGACAUUGCUCUAACAUAUGGAGGCAAUGAGUUCCACAGAAUUGGAGCAUAGGUCGAAAAGGCUCUACGUCUUGUAGCUUCCAGGUGUACCUCCCUAGGACCCAGUAUGUAUAGGAGAUUUUCCUGGUGUCCACUGAUGAAAAAAAGGAAUCAGGCCGUUCCCAAGAUAUAAUGGUCCUUGGCCAUUUCGAGCUUUAAAUGUCAGGAUCAGUAUCUUGUAAGAGAUCCGAUGUUCUGUUUGUAGCCAAUGCAGUUGUUUCAGAAUCAGUGUAAUAUGGGAUCUUAUAGAUGAUCCGGCUAGCAGCCUGGCCACCGCAUUUUGGACCAUUCGGAUCUUCUGGGUUUUUGUCUUCGGAAGGCCAGCAUAUAAGGCGUUACAAUAAUCCAACCUAGUGGUGACUGUUGCAUGGAUUACCGUUGCCAAUGCUUCUGUCGAGAGGUAGGAUGCCAAUUUCCUUGCCUGGCGAAGAUGAAAAAAGGCCUGCUUACUUAUGGCAGUGAUCUGGGCCUCCAUUGUCAGCGAUGAGUCCAACACAACCCCAAGGCUUUUAACAGUAGUAGAGGGAACCAGAACAUCCCCAUCAAAAUCAGGCAGUGACUGGAUUAACUCUGGUGGCUGGCCAGGCCAGAGUAUCUCAGUUUUUGUGGGAUUCACAUUCAGCAAACAAUAUGGCCACUUCUUCGUCCUCAUGCUUCAUGGUGCCCACCUUCCCUCAAACCUAAAUUUGGCCCUUAACAUGAACCAUGGAUAUUGGGUCCAAUGAACUUCCAUUCCAAGCAUCUCCCAGUCAUCCUCAGUUUACUCUCAUACUACUGUGGCAAAUGCAUGUAUGUGUGUAUAGACAACAAGUUCAAUUCAUGUUGUUAACUCCCAAGUGGUUAUUUAUCAGUCUGAUCCUUGCUGCCACAACAAGCCUCCUGGUGAAUGCUGCUCUUCUUUUCCUACCCUCAUUAUGCCUCCCAGCUGAUUGUAACAAAGUGCCAGAAUGAUCAAGCUUCUUGACCUUUACAAUUUCGAUGGCUGUCGCAGAAUUCUCAGCACUCCAAUGGUGCUCCCAAUAAUUGAGGUGUGCGUCCUUCUUUCCACUCUGCCAUUCUUGUGGUCUAAAGUGCCUUGCCAUCAUUCUAUUUUUAGACGAUACCAUUUUUAAUACUGCACUUUCUUCUCCAUGCACAGUGAAGACUUAUGUUUAAAAAAUCAUCAACUAAGCACAGUUAGUUCAUUUCACAUACUUCCUGUCUCCAGGACCCAUAGUUUUUUCAAGGGUCUCAAGGUGAUACUCUCUACUCUCUUUUAUUUUCGCAACAACCUGGUGAUGUAGAGGUAAGGUUUGUUCUAAGAUCACCUUUGAGUUUUCAUGCAAGGUAGGGAUUUAUUUAUUUACUAGCUGUGCCCAGCCACGCGUUGCUGUGGCUUGUCUGGUGGUGUUGGUGAGAAAUUGUUGAGGUAGUGGUGGUAUUGAAUGUCUGUUGUAUGGUUGUCUUUAUGUUUAGUAUGCACACUGAAGUGGAUUAUAUGGCAGUGUGGAGUCAAGAUAAUCCAGUUCAAAGCAGAUAAUAUAAGAUUCUAAAUGGGUUAUAUAACUGCUUGGAAGGGCCUUGAGUCUACACUGCCAUAUAAUCCAGUUAAAAUCUGAUAAUCUGUGGAAGGGGCCUAAGUGAGGCCUAACUGUGCUUGUCCCCUGGGCUGAGUGAGUUGCUAGGAGUCCAAGUGGGUGGAGCUUAGCCUUCAAACUGGCAGCAAUUGGAUAAAAACUAUUAUUCCUCUCCCUGUAAUUAGGACUUUAUUUUUCUUUUCUUUUUGUUGUAUCAACCUAGAGCCGUGAAUGAUGGGUUGUGUUGUCAUAUUUCGAGGUUGGGGGGCCUGUAGUUUUGUUGUUUUGUCCGCUGCCCUGAUGCCAUCACUCUUUUAUAUAUAUAGAUUUAUUAAACUUUAUUUAUUUAUUUAUUUAUUUAUUUAUUAGACUACUUCCAGUUUGGCUCGGAGUGGUUUACAGAAAUAGAUUAAAACAAUACAAUUAGCUUUAAAAUAACAAUAAAAACAGACAUAGCCCCGAGUUUUUCACCCAUCGAAAGUUUGUCGGAAGAGAAAGGUUUUGCAGGCUUUCUGAAAGGCAAGUAGGUCUCAGAUAGUUCGAGUUUCAACUGGCAAAACAUUCCAUAAAUAAGGGGCUACAAUCGAGAAGGCUCUCUGCCUAGUAGAAGACAAAUGAUAAGUCCGUAUGUUAGGGACUUCAAGCAAAUUUGAACCUGAAUUCUACCAAUCCCUCUCCAACACUCUCUCUUCCUUGGCUCAAUAUCUAUUUAUGGAACAAAAGUCAGCACUCUGAAACAUUCAUUUAAAGUUUGGACUAAAACUCAAAGUGGAUAUACUGCCAUAUUGAACAAGGAAGCAAGCCCUAGUGUGGUGUAGUGGUUUCAGCAUUGGAUUCAAAUCCACAUUCAAUCUGGAAACUUGUUAGAAUACCUUUGGCAAAUAAUACUCUCUUGGCUUCAGAGGAAGUUAAAGGAAAAUUUCCUCUGAACCAUUCUUGGCAAAAAAAAAAUCCCAUAAAUGAGAAAUGACUUGAAGGUGCACAACAACACAACAGGAGUUCUCCUGCUGUUGCAAAAACAACCAGAAUAGAAAACUCCAUGCAGAGGAAAUGCUAAGUCUUCCACCUUUCAUUCAUUUAUUCAUGCUAUGCCUUGUGUGCCAGAGUCAAGAUUUUAAUGCUCAUCCAAAGGAAGCAUGGGAUAGGAAGCCCCCUCUGAACAUAGCAAAUGAUGCUAAGAAGGUAGGCUUUUUUCCUUGGAUGGUGGUUUGAGAAGAAAAGGAGGAGGAGGAAAGUCCCUUUCCCCCUUUUAUAAACCUCCACGUGGAGCUGAGCCCAUGACAAAGAAACCUUGCCAAGAUAUUAAGAGUUCAGCUGCUCAGCCAAGCUGGGAAAAAAAGUGCAGGCGAGGCGAAGCUAUAAAUAAAACCUCUAGAAGAGGAAGACAGUAGCUACAAAGAGCUUUGU